GUGAAUCAUCGAAUCUUUGAACGCACAUUGCGCCCGCCAGUAUUCUGGCGGGCAUGCCUGUUCGAGCGUCAUUUCAACCAUCAAGCCCAGGGCUUGUGUUGGGGACCUGCGGCUGCCGCAGGCCCUGAAAACCAGUGGCGGGCUCGCUAGUCACUCCGAGCGUAGUAGUUUACACCUCGCUCAGGGCGUGCUGCGGGUUCCGGCCGUUAAAAGCCUUAUUUUACCCAAGGUUGACCUCGGAUCAGGUAGGAAGACCCGCUGAACUUAAGCAUAUCAAUAAGCGGAGGA
rnacentral:misc_RNA from 1 species